rnacentral:rRNA from 1 species
ACUACGGGGUGCAGCAGUGGGGAAUAUUGGGCAAUGGGCGCAAGCCUGACCCAGCAACGCCGCGUGAAGGAAGAAGGCUUUCGGGUUGUAAACUUCUUUUCUGAGGGACGAAGAAAGUGACGGUACCUCAGGAAUAAGCCACGGCUAACUACGUGCCAGCAGCCGCGGUAAUACGUAGGUGGCAAGCGUUAUCCGGAUUUAUUGGGUGGAAAGGGCGUUUAGGCGGGAAAGCAAGUCAGAUGUGAAAACUCAGGGCUCAACACUGAGCCUGCAUGUGAAACUGUUUUUCUUGAGUGCUGGGGAGGCAAUCGGAAUUCCGUGUGUAGCGGUGAAAUGCGUAGAUAUACGGAGGAACACCAGUGGCGAAGGCGGAUUGCUGGACAGUAACUGACGCUGAGGCGCGAAAGCGUGGGGAGCAAACAGGAUUAGAUACCCCGGGUAGUC